rnacentral:rRNA from 1 species
AUUGAACGCUGGCGGCAUGCUUUACACAUGCAAGUCGAACGGCAGCGCGGGCUUCGGCCUGGCGGCGAGUGGCGAACGGGUGAGUAAUACAUCGGAACGUGCCCAGUAGUGGGGGAUAGCUCGGCGAAAGCCGGAUUAAUACCGCAUACGACCUGAGGGUGAAAGCGGGGGAUCUUCGGACCUCGCGCUAUUGGAGCGGCCGAUGGCAGAUUAGCUAGUUGGUGGGGUAAAGGCCUACCAAGGCGACGAUCUGUAGCUGGUCUGAGAGGACGACCAGCCAAACUGGGACCUGGACACGGCCCAGACUCCUACGGGAGGCCGCAGUGGGGAAUUUUGGACAAUGGGCGAAAGCCUGAUCCAGGAAUGCCGCGUGUUUGAUGAAGGCCUUCGGGUUGUAAAGCACUUUUGGCGGGAACGAAAAGGACUGUGCCAAUACCACGGUUCGAUGACGGUACCCGCAGAAUAAGCACCGGCUAACUACGUG